GACGAACGCUGGCGGCGCGCUUAACACAUGCAAGUCGAGCGAGAACCGGCCCUUCGGGGCCGGGGACAGCGGCGAACGGGUGAGUAACACGUGGGUAAUCUGCCCUCGGCACCGGAAUAGCCCGGGGAAACCCGGAUUAAUGCCGGAUGGCCUCUCGAGCCCUCGGGCUCGUGAGAAAAGGUAGCUUCGGCCCCUGGCCGAGGAGGAGCCCGCGGCGGAUUAGCUUGUUGGUGAGGUAACGGCUCACCAAGGCGACGAUCCGUAGCUGGUCUGAGAGGACGAUCAGCCACACUGGGACUGAGACACGGCCCAGACUCCUACGGGAGGCAGCAGUGGGGAAUCUUGCGCAAUGGGCGAAAGCCUGACGCAGCGACGCCGCGUGCGGGAAGAAGGCCUUCGGGUUGUAAACCGCUUUCAGGAGGGACGAAGCCACUCGGGUUAAUAGCCCAGAGGGUGACGGUACCUCCAGAAGAAGCCCCGGCUAACUACGUGCCAGCCGCCGCCGUAA
rnacentral:rRNA from 1 species